AAUUGACCUCGGAUCAGGUAGGGAUACCCGCUGAACUUAAGCAUAUCAAUAAGCGGAGGAAAAGAAACCAACAGGGAUUGCCUCAGUAACGGCGAGUGAAGCGGCAACAGCUCAAAUUUGAAAUVUGACCCCGUCGGGGGUUCGAGUUGUAAUUUGUAGAGGAUGUUUCGGGCGCGAAGCCGGUCUAAGUCCCUUGGAACGGGGCGUCAUAGAGGGUGAGAAUCCCGUAUGUGACCGGCGAUCAAGCCUCUGUGAAACUCCUUCGACGAGUCGAGUUGUUUGGGAAUGCAGCUCCAAAUGGGUGGUAAUUUCAUCUAAAGCUAAAUACUGGCCAGAGACCGAUAGCGCACAAGUAGAGUGAUCGAAAGAUGAAAAGCACUUUGGAAAGAGAGUCAAAAAGUACGUGAAAUUGUUGAAAGGGAAGCGCUUGCAACCAGACCUGCCCGCGGGCGAUCAGCCGUCCCUUCCGGGGCGGUGCACGCGCCCGCGAACAGGCCAGCAUCGGUUCGGGCGGCCGGAUAAAGGCCCGGGGAACGUAGCUCCUCUCGGGGAGUGUUAUAGCCCCGGGUGCAAUGCGGCCCGCCUGGACCGAGGACCGCGCUUCGGCUAGGAUGCUGGCGUAAUGGUUGCAAGCGGCCCGUCUUGAAACACGGACCAAGGAGUCUAACAUCUAUGCGAGUGUUUGGGUGUCAAACCCAUGCGCGGAAUGAAAGUGAACGGAGGUAGGAACCCACCAGGGCGCACUAUCGACCGAUCCUGAAGUCUUCGGAUGGAUUUGAGUACGAGCAUAGCUGUUGGAACCCGAAAGAUGGUGAACUAUGCCUGAAUAGGGUGAAGCCAGAGGAAACUCUGGUGGAGGCUCGCAGCGGUUCUGACGUGCAAAUCGAUCGUCAAAUUUGGGUAUAGGGGCGAAAGACUAAUCGACCUUCAUACUGUCACGA
rnacentral:rRNA from 1 species